UACGUAGGGCGCAAGCGUUUAUCCGGAAUUAUUGGGCGUAAAGAGCUCGUAGGCGGUUUGUCGCGUCGUCCGUGAAAACUUGGGGCUCAACCCCAAGCUUGCGGGCGAUACGGGCAGACUUGAGUACUGCAGGGGAGACUGGAAUUCCUGGUGUAGCGGUGAAAUGCGCAGAUAUCAGGAGGAACACCGGUGGCGAAGGCGGGUCUCUGGGCCGAUACUGACGCUGAGGAGCGAAAGCGUGGGGAGCAAACAGG
rnacentral:rRNA from 1 species